rnacentral:rRNA from 1 species
GAUGAACGCUAGCUACAGGCUUAACACAUGCAAGUCGAGGGGCAGCGCAGUGUAGCAAUACAUGGGCGGCGACCGGCGCACGGGUGCGUAACGCGUAUCCAACCUUCCCGUUACUCUUGGAUAGCCUUCCGAAAGGGAGAUUAAUACAGGAUGGUGUUUGAAUUCCGCAUGUUAUUCAAACUAAAGAUUUAUCGGUAACGGAUGGGGAUGCGUGACAUUAGGUAGAUGGCGGGGUAACGGCCCACCAUGCCUACGAUGUCUAGGGGUUCUGAGAGGAAGGUCCCCCACACUGGAACUGAGACACGGUCCAGACUCCUACGGGAGGCAGCAGUGAGGAAUAUUGGUCAAUGGUCGAGAGACUGAACCAGCCAUGCCGCGUGAAGGUCACGGCCCUAUGGGUCUUAAACUUCUUUUGCAAGGGAGCAAUAAGUCCCACGUGUGGGAUGAUGAGAGUACCUUGCGAAUAAGCAUCGGCUAACUCCGUGCCAGCAGCCG